rnacentral:rRNA from 1 species
UGAGGAAUAUUGGUCAAUGGGCGGGAGCCUGAACCAGCCAAGCCGCGUGAGGGAAGAAGGCCCUAUGGGUCGUAAACCUCUUUUGUCAGGGAACAAAAGCGAGUAUGUAUACUAGUCUGAGUGUACCUGAAGAAAAAGCAUCGGCUAACUCCGUGCCAGCAGCCGCGGUAAUACGGAGGAUGCGAGCGUUAUCCGGAUUUAUUGGGUUUAAAGGGUGCGUAGGCGUCGAUGCAAGUCAGCGGUAAAAUGCCCGGGGCUCAACCCCGGCGAGCCGUUGAAACUGCAGUGCUAGAGAAGGCGAGAGGUACGCGGAAUGCGCAGUGUAGCGGUGAAAUGCUUAGAUAUUGCGCAGAACUCCGAUUGCGAAGGCAGCGUACUGGCGCCUGACUGACGCUGAGGCACGAAAGCGUGGGGGAUCGAACAGGAUUAGAUACC